UAGGGAAUCUUCCACAAUGGGCGCAAGCCUGAUGGAGCAACGCCGCGUGAGUGAAGAAGGUUCUUCGGAUCGUAAAACUCUGUUGUUAGAGAAGAACAUGCAGGAGAGUAACUGUUCUUGUAUUGACGGUAUCUAACCAGAAAGCCACGGCUAACUACGCGCCAG
rnacentral:rRNA from 1 species